rnacentral:rRNA from 1 species
GUAGGGGGCAAGCGUUGUCCGGAUUUAUUGGGSGUAAAGAGCGUGUAGGCGGCCAGACAGGUCCGUUGUGAAAACUCGAGGCUCAACCUCGAGACGCCGAUGGAAACCGUCUGGCUAGAGUCCGGAAGAGGAGAGUGGAAUUCCUGGUGUAGCGGUGAAAUGCGCAGAUAUCAGGAAGAACACCCGUGGCUAAGGCGGCUCUCUAGUACGGUACUGACGCUGAGACGCGAAAGCGUGGGGAGCGAACAGGAUUAGAUACCCUGGUAGUCCACGCCGUAAACGAUGGGUGCUAGGUGUGGGGGGUGUCGACUCCCUCCGUGCCGAAGCUAACGCAUUAAGCACCCCGCCUGGGGAGUACGGCCGUAAGGCUA